rnacentral:rRNA from 1 species
UACGUAGGGUGCGAGCGUUGUCCGGAAUUACUGGGCGUAAAGAGCUCGUAGGUGGUUUGUCGCGUUGUUCGUGAAAACCGGGGGCUUAACCCUCGGCGUGCGGGCGAUACGGGCAGACUUGAGUACUGCAGGGGAGACUGGAAUUCCUGGUGUAGCGGUGGAAUGCGCAGAUAUCAGGAGGAACACCGGUGGCGAAGGCGGCCUGCUGGGCAGUAGCUGACACUGAGGCGCGACAGCGUGGGGAGCAAACAGG